rnacentral:rRNA from 1 species
UACAGAGGUCUCAAGCGUUACUGAGAAUCACUGGGUUUAAAGGGUGCGUAGGUGGUCCGUUAAGUCAGUUGUGAAAUCCCCCGGGCUCAACCCGGGGAAAUGCUUCUGAUACUGGCGGACUUGAGGCCAGUAGGGGUCACUAGAACUGACGGUGGAGCGGUGAAAUGCGCAGAUAUCGGGAGGAACACCGGUGGCGAAGGCGGUUCUCUGGGCCUGACCUGACGCUGAGGAGCGAAAGCGUGGGGAGCGAACAGG